AAGGAAUCAUGCAAGGAUGCAAGCUGAAGGAAAGGACAACUCUCACAUCAGUGCAUUACUAAUUGUUUGACUUCAUCAUCAAGCACACCAGACGGUGCGGUGGUACAGUGGAUAGCUCUGUUGCCUCCCAGCAAAAAUGUUUCUGGUUCGAGCAUCGGCUGGGUCAGUUGGCAUUUCUGUGUGAAGUUUGUAUGUUCUCCCCGUGUUGGCGUGGGUUUCCUCCAGGUGCUCCGGUUUCCCCCACAAGACAUGCGGUACAGGUGAAUUGGGUAAGCUAACUCAGAUUGUGAUGGACCUGGAAUGCGACACCAGUUACUCUUAAGUCAAGAACCAAAUAAAGCACCAGAGUACAGAUUAUGGAGGUUCCUUGUAAAGAUGAACCCAGGGAAGGAUCGAAAGUGGAGAAGACCAGAUCAAAAAAGACCACAUCAAGAUCUGCAGUCAGUUCAAAGGAUGUUUUGCAUUGGACUGUUUUUUUUUUUGGCUUUGACCCUUGCUCGCCCCUGACCUCACUCUUGGACUGCCCUGUUGGAUUUUCAGUUUAUUUAAUUUAAUUUUUAUUUUUAUUUUUUGGUUCUGGGAAAAUGCUAAUAAAUAUUUAGUUGUAAUUAUUUAAGUAUUAUGUUUAGUUAAAUAUGCGAUUUCUGUGUUUGUUCCGUCUACUCAUACUUGUUUAUCUUGUUUCUGUAAUUAUCAUUUGUUUAUUUGACCCCUGCCUCGCCUUUGAUCUUGUUUUUGGAUUGCCCUUUAUAUAUCUUUUUAAUUAUUGGUUCUGGCUUUAUGGUUAUAAAAUAUUUG
ensembl:processed_transcript